rnacentral:rRNA from 1 species
GACAGAGGCCUCGAGCGUUAGGCGGAAUCACUGGGCUUAAAGCGUGUGUAGGCGGACCCCUAAGUGUCUUGUGAAAUCCCACGGCUCACCCGUGGAACCGCUGGGCAUACUGGGGGUCUUGGGCCAUUCAGGGGCGACUGGAACAAGCGGUGGAGCGGUGAAAUGCGUAGAUAUCGCUUGGAACGCCGACGGUGAAAACAGGUCGCUGGGAAUGUGCCAACGCUGAGACACGAAAGCCAGGGGAGCAAACGGG